CCCCGAAACUAGACGAGCUACUCUAAAACAGCCCACAGAGCUAACCCAUCCCUGUUGCAAUAGGGUGGAAAGAUUUUAAAGUAGAGGCGACACACCUACCGAGCCUAGAAAUAGCUGGUUAUUUAAUAAACGGAUUUGAGUCCCCCUUUAAGCUUCCCCAGUCUAACUAAACCCCACACAAGCUUAAAAGCCAUUCAAAUAAGGUACAGCCUAUUUGAACUAGGAAACAACCUCCAACACCGGGUAACAACUACAUGUGCGGCCAAGUAGGCCUAAAAGCAGCCAACUUAUAAAAGCGUCCAAGCUUCCCCA
rnacentral:rRNA from 1 species